GUGUGUGUGUGUGUGUGUGUGUGUGUGUUCAGGUACUGUCCGGUGUGUAAGAAGCACCAGCUGGCCACGAAGAAGCUGGACCUCUGGUUCCUGCCCGAGGUUCUCAUCAUCCACCUGAAGAGGUUCUCCUACACCAAGUUCACCAGAGAGAAGCUGGACAGCAUCGUGGACUUCCCCCUGAGAGAGCUGGACUUCUCCGGCUGCCUCCUGAGGAAGAGUCAGUCCAAUGGGGAGCCUCCGAGCCGCUACGACCUCAUCGCUGUGUCCAAUCACUACGGAGGACUCAGAGACGGCCAUUACACCAGCUACGCGCGGAACAAGGACAACGGUCAGUGGUAUUACUUUGACGACAGCAAGGUGACGUACGCCAGAGAGGAUCAAAUCGUGGUGAGUACGAGACCCAGCGCUGUAAAGCCUCCUGUUCCUGUGCUCCUUUCAGACAUUCCCUUUGUUCUGAUGUCAGUAUGAUGUCAUUACAUCGCUGCCCAAUUACAGACACAUACAAAGAAAAGGUU